CUUCCCUCAUCUUUCUCUCAGCCGCCAUUUCACCUGCUUCUAUUAUUUUCCUUUCUCUCGCUUCAGCCCCAUUGUGAAUCACAAUACACAAAGUACUUUCUAGGAAUAUGAAAUUGCCGAUGAAGACGACACAAGUUCUUUGUGUUCACGUGGCGGUGUUAAUGGUGCUGCUGAUGUUUAAUGAAUAUACAAAGAUUGUUGAGAACACCACAAUGGUAUUCUCAACAACACAUCUUUACAAUCGGCAGGACAGCUUUUCAGAUGAAUAUUCCAGAACAUUAUAACAAAAACCAUUAAAGCAGAUGAACGGAUACCUAAAAUGGAUGCCAAGGAAAAUCUUUCUCGUGAAUUGUGUGCACUCGUUCUAUUCACCUUAUAUUUACAAGGCUUUCUUAUUUCUUUUGCAGAACAAGAAAAUAAUUACACGUGAUCGCUUUAGUUCCUCCUGAAGUGGGAGUAAACGCGGGAUGGGAAAAGUUGUCAGGCAUUCUUCAUGGGUACAAUUACAAACUUUACCUACUUGUUAUGGAUUAUGCAAUGCUUAUAAAUCUGCGGAAGACGAGUACACUGUCAAAAGAAGGCUAUCCAGUAGAUUUAGCGCUGAAAAACUUUAUGUAUUGGUCUUUCCUCUAUGCAUUUGCACACGCAAGCACAUAUACACACACAUUCUUUAUAUGUAUGUAUAUAAAUUAUGUAUAAUGAGUGGUUAGGUUACAUAGUCGCCAAAGAAAAUAUAAUAGAAAGAGAAAAGGCAGAAGGCUAUAUACAAGAAUAAACUGAAAAAAGUGAUAGUUGGAGAGUGAGAAAGUGAGGAGGAAACUAUAGAAUUUUAUGCAACAAUCUGACAGGAAAAACUAAUUUACAAGUGAGUUAUUUGGAACAUAUUUUUAGAAAUUUUUUCCCUGAUGGCCUGCAUAAAAAAAUAUCAAUUGAAGUAAUUUCGAAGUUUUAUGAGAAAAUGGAGAGGCAAAAAAUAGAAUGGUUAAAAGCACAACAGAAGGAAUAAAUGAGAUGGAUGAGUUUGCCAUA